GUCCAUUUAAAAUUAUGUUUGCAAUGUGGAAGUGCUACACUUCUUUUCUUCUUUCUCCAAGUUAUUUCCUGACUAACCUUUUCAUGUAACAAACAUGAAGAUUUUUCUUCUUGCUGUUUUCAGUACAAAGGCAUACAUACACCUAGUUUAGGUCCUCAGGAGACCUCUGACCAGUAUUUGUUUGAAGAUGUCUCUGCCUAGGAUAAUAUUACAAUUAGAAUCAAAGAAAGCAGGAAAAAAAAUAAGGGUUUCUUUCUGAAACAAAAUGAAGGGCACUUUUUAUUUCCCUGGCCUAAAGAACUUUUGGAAGAGCUACGCAAGAUAGGACCUGGCAAAUAAUAUUAUGCCCUUUGCCAAAUAAUGGGUAGAGAUCUAGCAAAUCUAGUUAUUAAAUGAGCUGAGCAGGAAGAGCCUGUUUGAGGCUGCUGCUUGGAAAUACUAGCAGUACACUCAGCAGAGGACAAAAGAUGUGGAGAUUAUGAACUGCAUUUGCUGAGGCCAUGUGUCAACUAAGUAAUAUCAGAGUCAACAGUGGCUGGAGCAUUGCAGGAGAAGCAGGAGAGGGAAGAUGAGUGUUGUUGAGGCUCAUGCACUUCUGUUGGUGUUCGACCUACUCUUUCUGUUGUUGCCUUGCUUGCUUUUUGUCUGAUGAAUAAAAUAUGUAGUACUGUCUAGAAACACAGACAAAAGAGAGUUCAACUACCUGCAUAACUGCUAUGGGAUGCAGUUGCCAUAUGAGAACUAUCGUCUCAAAAUUAAAACGGUAACUGUUGGGACUAGCAGUAAUGCUUUACAGUAAUAGGCCAUGUAUGUGGCGGUUGACAGAAGUAUAAAGACUUUAUUCCUAGGCAGAUUCAGGGAAUGGCAUUUAAACUGUCCAGAGAGUCUGGUCUGUAGCUGAGCUGAACUGGCACCAGUUGCUAGAGCAGAUUGCAUAAGUGACCCAAAAGGGAUGGCAGAGAAUAGCUUUCCAACUCCCAAGAGCAGAGGGAUCCUGUUCAGGGAAGCUGUCUCAGCUGUCGGGGUAGUUCUUUCAUCUCAGUGGACUGCAAAAUAUCUGUUUUUCCCUUUGCAACCAAAGGCAAAAUCUGGCAUUUGAAAGACUAUUUUAAAAAGUGGAAGAACUUUAGGCCUCUGAGGGUUUAAUCUUCCAAAAUUAAAAAAAAAAAAAAAAAAAAAAAAAAAGGCUGAAAAAGGUUAUUCUGCAAUUGCAUUCUGCAAUGAAACAUUGUACAAUUUCUGUCUCACAUCCUUCUAAAAGGUGAGCGUUGACAAUAUGGAGGAUAAUUCACUUGCUAUUUUAAAGACAGGGAAGAUGCAACUUGAUUUAUUUCUGUAACUCUAUGCUCUCUCUCUCUCUCUCUCUCUCUCUCUCUGCUUCAGUAAUGAGGAGGAAGUGCUGCUUCUUCAUACUGAAAUCCUGUAUAGGUGCAGUGGAUAAGAGUCUUUCUGGGAGUGGUGUGACUGGGCUUCUCUAGGUGAGUGUUCACCAUCUUCUCUACCAGGUCUUUCCAGAAGUAGGUCCAUUUUGAGGCAGUGUGCUUAGCGAAGGGGGUGAGCCCUGACUGACUGAACUGUACUGUGGCUUGAAGAAAGCAGAGGGAGGGAAGCAGUUUGUAUUCUGUAGGGUUUCUGGGUCAGUAGACCAAAGACAGGUCUUCUGUAUCUUUUUACAGCCUGUCUUGGCUUCCUUUUCUUGCCUGGUGAAGGAAGGCCUCCAUGUGCUUGAGGCUUGACUCCGAGCUCAAAGGCUGGAUUUGCAAAUGGCUUUCAGAUAUUAGCCAAAAAUGUUAGUCUGUGCAUGUGUACAGGGAGGUGUGGGGGAGGCAGCGUUGCUCCCUUGUGCAGUCACACAGAACAAGUCACAAUCUGGCGUGCUUUUGGUUAUUAAUAGCUAGAAUAUGGAAGUAGGGCAAAUAUCCAUCCUGAUUUAUCCUAACCUGAAUAAUCCAUAUAUUCUUCAGGCCAUAAAAUAGUGAUUCUGUCUCCUGCUGUCACAUUCCUGAAUUUUAGGAAGAGAUAUCUGUGACCAUUUCAUGUCACGAUGAUCAAUGUCACAUUAAAGAGAGAAGCCUGCAGGCAGGCGUGUGGGCUGUGUGAGUGCUGCCUGAUUAGGGAGAUGCUGGGGUGGUGAUCCUGCUCCCUGUCACUCCACGCUGACAGAGACAGCUAGACAAAAGACCCUGAGGGAGAGGUCACCCUGGCCUGAAGCUGCUCUGCUGAGGAGGGGGGGGUAGAGAAAGACACCGAGAGGCAGGCCACAGGGGGAGGAGAGGAGUCAAAGAGCCAUGAAGCAACACGGAAGGAGUCAGGAGGCAUUUGAUUCAGGAGCAGGGAGGGGGAGAAAAAGAGGCAGAGAUGAAAUAGAAGAAAAUAGAG